rnacentral:sRNA from 1 species
AUUCUACUGUCUCAUCUGCUUUGGCAUCAGCGCUGAAUAGAUUUAAGACAUCUGCGCAUGUGUCUUCAGGUGCUGAAGAAAAACACCCUUCUCUGUACAUUGCCUAUUGGGCUGACACUUAAACAUUGCUCUGGGAUGUUGCAAACAGACCAAGCUAGAAAGGUACAAAAUGACUUUAUGUGCCUUAGUUGGAAUGUUGAUCUUAUUCUCUUAGACAAUCAACUUGUCUCUCUCUGCAUCCUAUUACACGCUGAGGACAGAAUAUUUGGAGGAUGUUGUACCUGCCCCCGAAACACUGCAACUCACUGAGUUGGAAAAUUGAGAAACUAUAAAGAAGAGAUUCUACCCUGCACUGUGGAUUCCCAGUGUUUUAUUUUGGAUGCCUUAUUCACCCAAGAGCAACAAGUUACGAAGGCAUCGAGAAAGCAUGGACAACAGCUGAGUCUUAUCACUGUGUGGCAGGGAUGGAUUUCUGGAAGACAUGCAAGAAGAGGCUACUGAUGAGAGUGCACCCCAGUUGCAACAAGUGGCUGCAUUUCUAAGGAAAAGUGACCCUUGCUCAUCCAGCAGUCAUCAGUACUAAUGGAACCCAGGAUUAUUUCCAAGAAGUGCAAAUAUGGAUGAAGUUGAGAUUUGGACUUUCUAUCUUUGUGACGAACUGAGUUGGAGUUUUGAUGGGGAAUUGCACUGGAACUGUAUAUUGCUUUUGGUAAAAUGGACAUUUUUAUUAUGUUAAUCCUACUGAUACGUGAUCAUGGAAAGUCUUACAAUUUUCUGAUGUCUUUUUUGCGUUCUUGCUUCAGAGAUUUGAAAUUCUUGUCAUACACACCUUUCACUUGCCAGUUAGAGUCACACCAAUAUAUUAUGCAUUACUCAUGGCUAAUAUAAGGGGUGUUGUUUCCCUAAUAUCUUUCUCAAUAUGUUUGUAUUUUCCAUAGAGGAAGGCUACUGAUUUGAGGUGCCACAACAUGGGCCAAAAAAAUAGAAAUCAUCAGAGUUCCAUACAUGAAGCAUCAUUAAGAAUUAGGGAAUUGAUUUCCAUAUAUUCUCCUCCUCUGACCAAUGAAAUAAAUGCAAUCUCCCAUAAGUACUUUGAUUUAAUUUUAAUGUCUUAAGCAGGAUGACCAUAACAACAUCUAUAUUUUCUUUGAAUUACUAAUUUUUGAAAAUAGAUUUUUUCACACAAUAUAUUCUAAUUUUGUCAUACCUUAUAUUCCCCUAACUUAUUCUUGCCACCUGCAGAACCACCUAAUCCUAAUGUUCUCUCUCUCUCUCUCUCUC